rnacentral:rRNA from 1 species
UACGCAGGGAGCAAGCGUUGUUCGGAUUUACUGGGCGUAAAGGGCGCGUAGGCGGCAGAUCAAGUCAGCUGUGAAAGCCCCCGGCUCAACUGGGGAGGGUCACGCGAUACUGCUCGACUCGAAGGCAGGAGAGGGAAGUGGAAUUCCCGGUGUAGUGGUGAAAUGCGUAGAUAUCGGGAGGAACACCAGUGGCGAAGGCGACUACCUGGCCUGUUCUUGACGCUGAGGCGCGAAAGCUAGGGGAGCAAACGGG